AUUGAACGCUGGCGGCAGGCCUAACACAUGCAAGUCGAGCGCCCCGCAAGGGGAGCGGCGGACGGGGUGAGUAACGCGUGGGAACGUACCCUUUGCUACGGAAUAGCCUCGGGAAACUGGGAGUAAUACCGUAUGUGCCCUUCGGGGGAAAGAUUUAUCGGCAAAGGAUCGGCCCGCGUUGGAUUAGGUAGUUGGUGGGGUAAUGGCCUACCAAGCCGACGAUCCAUAGCUGGUUUGAGAGGAUGAUCAGCCACACUGGGACUGAGACACGGCCCAGACUCCUACGGGAGGCAGCAGUGGGGAAUCUUAGACAAUGGGCGCAAGCCUGAUCUAGCCAUGCCGCGUGAUCGAUGAAGGCCUUAGGGUUGUAAAGAUCUUUCAGUGGGAAGAUAAUGACUGUACCCACAGAAGAAGCCCCGGCUAACUCCGUGCCAGCAGCCGCGGUAAUGUGACUACUG
rnacentral:rRNA from 1 species